UACGGGGGGAGCAAGCGUUGUUCGGAUUUACUGGGCGUAAAGGGCGCGUAGGCGGCCAGCACAAGUCAGUUGUGAAAUCUCCGAGCUUAACUCGGAAAGGUCAACUGAUACUGUGCGGCUAGAGUGCAGAAGGGGCAACUGGAAUUCUUGGUGUAGCGGUGAAAUGCGUAGAUAUCUGGAGGAACACCGGUGGCGAAGGCGGCUCUCUGGACCGAGACUGACGCUGAGGCGCGAAAGCGUGGGGAGCAAACAGG
rnacentral:rRNA from 1 species